GACGAACGCUGGCGGCGUGCCUAAUACAUGCAAGUUGAGCGCUGAAGGUUGGUACUUGUACCAACUGGAUGAGCAGCGAACGGGUGAGUAACGCGUGGGGAAUCUGCCUUUGAGCGGGGGACAACAUUUGGAAACGAAUGCUAAUACCGCAUAAAAACUUUAAACACAAGUUUUAAGUUUGAAAGAUGCAAUUGCAUCACUCAAAGAUGAUCCCGCGUUGUAUUAGCUAGUUGGUGAGGUAAAGGCUCACCAAGGCGAUGAUACAUAGCCGACCUGAGAGGGUGAUCGGCCACAUUGGGACCGAGACACGGCCCAAACUCCUACGGGAGGCAGCAGUAGGGAAUCUUCGGCAAUGGACGAAAGGCUGACCGAGCAACGCCGCGUGAGUGAAGAAGGUUUUCGGAUCGUAAAACUCUGUUGGUAGAGAAGAACGUUGGUGAGAGUGGAAAGCUCAUCAAGUGACGGUAACUACCCAGAAAGGGACGGCUAACUACGUG
rnacentral:rRNA from 1 species